rnacentral:rRNA from 1 species
UACGUAGGGGGCGAGCGUUGUCCGGAUUUAUUGGGCGUAAAGAGCGUGUAGGCGGCCCGGUAAGUCCGCUGUGAAAGUCGGGGGCUCAACCCUCGGAUGCCGGUGGAUACUGUCGGGCUCGAGUACGGAAGAGGCGAGUGGAAUUCCUGGUGUAGCGGUGAAAUGCGCAGAUAUCAGGAGGAACACCUAUUGCGAAGGCAGCUCGCUGGGACGGUACUGACGCUGAGACGCGAAAGCGUGGGGAUCAAACAGG